rnacentral:rRNA from 1 species
CGUGUAGGCGGCUAAGUAAGUCUGGAGUGAAAGUCCUGCUUUUAAGGUGGGAAUUGCUUUGGAUACUGCAUAGCUAGAGUGCAGGAGAGGUAAGUGGAAUUCCCAGUGUAGCGGUGAAAUGCGUAGAGAUUGGGAGGAACACCAGUGGCGAAGGCGACUUACUGGACUGUAACUGACGCUGAGGCGCGAAAGUGUGGGAGCAAACA